rnacentral:tRNA from 1 species
UGCCCGAUGGUGUAACUGGCAACACGUCUGAUUUUGGUUCAGAAGAGUCCAGGUUCGAGCCCUGGUCGGGCAACAA